rnacentral:rRNA from 1 species
AUUGAACGCUGGCGGCAUGCUUUACACAUGCAAGUCGAACGGUAACAGGCCGCAAGGUGCUGACGAGUGGCGAACGGGUGAGUAAUGCAUCGGAACGUGCCCAGUCGUGGGGGAGAACGCAGCGAAAGCUGUGCUAAUACCGCAUACGAUCUAUGGAUGAAAGCGGGGGACCGUAAGGCCUCGCGCGAUUGGAGCGGCCGAUGCCAGCUUAGGUAGUUGGUGGAGUAAAGGCCCACCAAGCCGACGAUCUGUAGCUGGUCUGAGAGGACGACCAGCCACACUGGGACUGAGACACGGCCCAGACUCCUACGGGAGGCAGCAGUGGGGAAUUUUGGACAAUGGGCGCAAGCCUGAUCCAGCAAUGCCGCGUGCAGGAAGAAGGCCUUCGGGUUGUAAACUGCUUUUGUACGAAACGAAACGGUCUGGGUUAAUACCCUGGGCUAAUGACGGUACCGUAAGAAUAAGCACCGGCUAACUACGUGCCAGCCGCCGCCGUAACAC